rnacentral:rRNA from 1 species
UAACGGCCGGUAGAAAGCCUGAUCGGGGCUCAUCCUUCGGGGUGGGAUCUCGGUCAGUUCUCCGGACCCGCGGCCGUCGGUCCGGGCGGUAUGAAACGACUUCAGCGCUGGGCCGCUCCUUUGAGAGCGCCUAGCCUCCCCGCAAGCUCGGGUUGGUCUGUCGGGUCGUGCCCUCACGGGUACGCUCGGCGUCCUCCCGGACUGUUGGCGGGUGACGGCUCAGGCUGUCCGUCCAGCACGCUCGUCGGCGGCGCUUCAGAUUCGGGCACUUAUCCGACCCGUCUUGAAACACGGACCAAGGAGUCUAGCGUGUGCGCGAGUCAUUGGGUGUAAAACCUAAAGGCGUAAUGAAAGUGUCAGCGAGAGGGCUUACGCUCUUUCGGUGGGAGGAUGGGCUCCCGGAUGUCACUCCGGUGCCCCGCACUCCCGGGGCGUUUCAUUCUCAAUUUACGAGUCGAGACGCACCAGGAGCGCACACGCUGGUACCCGAAAGAUGGUGAACUAUGCCUGGCCAGGACGAAGCCAGGGGAAACCCUGGUGGAGGUCCGAAGCGAUUCUGACGUGCAAAUCGAUCGUCUGAGCUGGGUAUAGGGGCGAAAGACCAAUCGAACCAUCUAGUAGCUGGUUCCCUCCGAAGUUUCCCUCAGGAUAGCUGGCUCUCGGGAAGAGACGAGUCUCAUCCGGUAGAGCGAAUGAUUAGAGGUGAUGGGGUCGAAACGACUUCAACCUAUUCUCAAACUCCCAAUAGAUGAGAGCCCCGGCUUGCUUGAAAGUGAAGCCGCGGGACUCGGAUCAGAGGUGCCAAGUGGGCCAAUUUUGGUAAGCAGAACUGGCGCUGUGGGAUGAACCAAACGCAGAGUUAAGGCGCCUGAUUCGACGCUCAUCCGAAACCAUGAAAGGCGUUGGUUGCUUAAGACAGCAGGACGGUGGCCAUGGAAGUCGGAAUCCGCUAAGGAGUGUGUAACAACUCACCUGCCGAAGCAACUAGCCCUGAAAAUGGAUGGCGCUGUAGCGUCGUGCCUAUACUCUGCCGUCAACGGCAAAGCGGGCGGCCCCUCACGGGGCGCUGCCGUUAAGCCUUGACGAGUAGGAGGGUCGCGGCGGUGUGCGCGGAAGGGUCUGGGCGUGAGCCCGCCUGGAGCCGCCGCCGGUGCAGAUCUUGGUGGUAGUAGCAAAUACUCCAGCGAGGCCCUGGAGGACUGAUGUGGAGAAGGGUUUCUUGUGAACAGCUGUUGCACAAGAGUCAGUCGAUCCUAAGCCCUAGGAGAAAUCCGAAGCGAUGGUCUGCCGUUAAAUUUCAUAUUUACCGCAAUUCGGAGUCGUUUGACUUCCGGUUGCGCGGUUAAACAAUGAGAUGGCACCGUCUGGGCGAAAGGGAGUCCGGUUCCUAUUCCGGAACCCGGCCGCGGAACCGCUCCAAUUCGGGCCCUCAUCCGAGGACUCGUCGGGGUGACCCGAAAUGACCCGGAGAAGCCGUAGGGAGGUCCGGGGAGAGUUGUCUCUUCUCUAUAAGCGUUCGAGUUCCCUGGAAGCCUCUAGGAGGGAGAUAGGGUUUGGAACGCGAAGAGCACCGCACUUACGGCGGUGUCCGGAUCUUCCCCUCGGACCUUGAAAAUCCGGGCGAGGGCCACGAGGAACACCGCGCCGGCUCGUACCCAUAUCCGCAGCAGGUCUCCAAGGUGAAUAGCCUCUAGUCGAUAGAAUAAUGUAGGUAAGGGAAGUCGGCAAACCCGAUCUGUAACUUCGGGAUAAGGAUUGGCUCUGAGGAUCGUGGCGCGCCGGGCUUGGUCGGGAAGUGGAGCGGUGCCAACGUGCCGGGCCUGGGCGAGGUGAAGGGCGCUCGUCGUCUGGACCCUAGCUCGGUCCCGUGCCUUGGCCACCCACGGACCUUCCUUGCUGCGAGCCUCCCGGCUGUCUAGUUUUCGGCCCAGCCGGAGUACGGGCCGGAAGGCUCUUCGGCCGCCAUAGAACGAUCAACUUAGAACUGGCACGGACCAGGGGAAUCCGACUGUCUAAUUAAAACAAAGCAUUGCGAUGGCCCUAACGGGUGAUGACGCAAUGUGAUUUCUGCCCAGUGCUCUGAAUGUCAACGUGAAG